rnacentral:misc_RNA from 1 species
GGCUAGACAGACGGCAUAAAAUCAUGGGUACAUUUUAUUUCCUUUAGUAGUGUUACUUCCUUUUUUCUCCGAAUUCAUCGUUUCCACUUCUAAUUAGCUUCUAGACUGGUUUUUCAUUUAGCCUAGAGUCUAUCGGAAACAUCUUUUGUACCUUAGAUAUAGAUAUAAGGCUUGUGUACACUGUACCUUCCCCAGACCCCGCUACAUUGUGUAACUUG